rnacentral:rRNA from 1 species
GAACUGACCCCUUCGGGGUGACGAUUAGUGGAAUGAGCGGCGGACGGGUGAGUAACACGUGGGCAACCUACCUAUAAGACUGGGAUAACUCGUGGAAACAUGGGCUAAUACCGGAUAACCAGUGUGUUCGCAUGAACACACUUUAAAAGGCGGCUUUUAGCUGUCACUUAUAGAUGGGCCCGCGGCGCAUUAGCUAGUUGGUGAGGUAACGGCUCACCAAGGCCACGAUGCGUAGCCGACCUGAGAGGGUGAUCGGCCACACUGGGACUGAGACACGGCCCAGACUCCUACGGGAGGCAGCAGUAGGGAAUCUUCCGCAAUGGACGAAAGUCUGACGGAGCAACGCCGCGUGAACGAUGAAGGUUUUCGGAUCGUAAAGUUCUGUUGUUAGGGAAGAACACGUACCGUUCAAAUAGGGCGGUACCUUGACGGUACCUAACGAGAAAGCCCCGGCUAACUACGUGCCAGCAGCCGCGGUAAUACGUAGGGGGCAAGCGUUGUCCGGAAUUAUUGGGCGUAAAGCGCGCGCAGGCGGUCCUUUAAGUCUGAUGUGAAAUCUUGCGGCUCAACCGCAAGCGGUCAUUGGAAACUGGAGGACUUGAGUACAGAAGAGGAGAGUGGAAUUCCAUGUGUAGCGGUGAAAUGCGUAGAUAUAUGGAGGAACACCAGUGGCGAAGGCGACUCUCUGGUCUGUAACUGA